ACGCGUGAGGAACCUGCCUCAAAGAGGGGGACAACAGUUGGAAACGACUGCUAAUACCGCAUAAGCCCACGGCUCGGCAUCGAGCAGAGGGAAAAGGAGCAAUCCGCUUUGAGAUGGCCUCGCGUCCGAUUAGCUAGUUGGUGAGGUAACGGCCCACCAAGGCGACGAUCGGUAGCCGGACUGAGAGGUUGAACGGCCACAUUGGGACUGAGACACGGCCCAGACUCCUACGGGAGGCAGCAGUGGGGAAUAUUGCACAAUGGGGGAAACCCUGAUGCAGCGACGCCGCGUGGAGGAAGAAGGUUUUCGGAUUGUAAACUCCUGUCGUUAGGGACGAUAAUGACGGUACCUAACAAGAAAGCACCGGCUAACUACGUGCCAGCAGCCGCGGUAAAACGUAGGGUGCAAGCGUUGUCCGGAAUUACUGGGUGUAAAGGGAGCGCAGGCGGGAAGACAAGUUGGAAGUGAAAACCAUGGGCUCAACCCAUGAAUUGCUUUCAAAACUGUUUUUCUUGAGUAGUGCAGAGGUAGAUGGAAUUCCCGGUGUAGCGGUGGAAUGCGUAGAUAUCGGGAGGAACACCAGUGGCGAAGGCGGUCUACUGGGCACCAACUGACGCUGAGGCUCGAAAGCAUGGGUAGCAAACAGGAUUA
rnacentral:rRNA from 1 species